rnacentral:rRNA from 1 species
UGUGUAGGCGGCUCUCUAAGUUUGGUGUGAAAUCUCCCGGCUCAACCGGGAGGGUGCGCCGAAAACUGGAAGGCUAGAGUGCGGGAUGGGAGAGUAGAAUUCCUGGUGUAGCGGUGAAAUGCGUAGAUAUCAGGAGGAAUACCGGUGGUGCAGACGGCUCUCUGGACCGUAACUGACGCUGAAACACGAAAGCGUGGGUAGCAAACAGGAUUAGAUACCCUGGUAGUCCACGCCCUAAACGAUGCAUAUUUGGUGUAGGUCAUUCAGUUGAUCUGUGCCGGAGCUAACGCGUUAAAUAUGCCGCCUGGGGAGUACAGUCGCAAGGCUGAA